AGAUGCAGAACUUGGUGUUGCUGCUGAUGAGGCAACACAGAAAGAAUCUCCAAAGAGAUACAGGAUCCAAAAUAGAACUUACAGACAUUAUUCUAGAGACAAGCAAAGUUCCUGGAGAAUUGUAGGGAAGUCAAUACUGUUCAGUAUUUGGGGACUUUAAGCCAGUUGUUGUCACAGCUCGACUGAUCUGAGCCAUAUAUCAUGGAUAGAUAUAUACCUGAGGAUAUGGAAGGUCCUGUUUGAAAAACAACAACAGAUGCUUAGAGCAGAGUUAGUUCCCUUUAUGUGUAGUGGAAGCCAUGUUGUUCAGAAGGACUGUGAUCCCAGUGCAAUACACACAUUUGUGGAGAGUCUAGCCCUCUUGUGCUCCACCAGUACCUAUCAGACCAAGAACACUCAAGUAUUUGGGUCAAACACAUAACCUCUGGUACAGAUCUUGCCAAUUGUUGGAACAGAUAGCAUUUGAUAAACUUCAUCAGGGUUGGUGAAGAGAGG